GGCCAUAUGUGCAGUGUUCUUUGGUCCUGUGAGUGAAAACUUUAAUUUUUUUAUUAGGUAACUGCAAAUAAUGUCGUUUAGAGGUUCCCUCUCACCGCAGUGCUUCAGCUAAUGAGUACAGACUCUGAGAACAUUCAGCUUCAUAGAUAAAAUACCAUCACUCAUGGAGAGUCACAUUUGACAAAACAAACAGGUUACAGCCAUGGAGAAGUGUGUAGAUUACCAGGGAAUACUUCAAAUAAACUUCUUCCUCAAGGCAAGAUACAAGAGUUUGCCUUUUGUAUGCCUGUUUUCAUUGCAUUGUUGGAAAGAGAGACAACACAACUGGCUCAACAUUUUCAUUUCUUUCACUAGCAUGUUCUGUGGGAAUAUAAGAAGGACUGUACAGAGCAGCAGCUGUGGAGCAAGAUAAACAGCAUGAGAACCAAGGACACCUCCAUGAACGGUUGAAGAAGUGUUUGUGGAAUGCUCUGUUGACAUGUAGGGUGAAUGGGAAUGCUACAAAAAGAAAACUUGUGAAGGU
rnacentral:lncRNA from 1 species